rnacentral:rRNA from 1 species
UACAGAGGGGGCAAGCGUUAUUCGGAAUUAUUGGGCGUAAAGGGCGCUUAGGCGGCCUGGCAAGUGGAAGGUGAAAUCCCUCGGCUUAACCGAGGAACUGCCUCCCAAACUGCUUGGCUUGAGACCAGGAGAGGUGAGUGGAAUUCCCAGUGUAGCGGUGAAAUGCGUAGAUAUUGGGAGGAACACCAGUGGCGAAGGCGGCUCACUGGACUGGUACUGACGCUGAGGCGCGAAAGCUAGGGGAGCAAACGGG